ACCAUACAGGGGAACACUCGGCAGAGCCAGAGGCCUGGGCCCAAGUCCUGCCACCAGCUGGCUGUGAAACUGUGGUACAGCACCUUGUGUCCUGCCACCAGCCGGCUGUGAAACUGGUACAGCACCUUGUCCUCAGGUCCUUGGUUUCCUCACUUGUAAAUUCAUGGUUCUCCAUGGCAUCUCUGGUCUUCAACAUUAUUUUGCAUAGAGUCUCAGAAGCUUUAGUGUGAGCGGAUGAUAUGGGCACGAAGCAAGGCACCCAGAAGUGGGGGCAACUACUCUGCUUUCUAAAAUGCAAGGGAACCGGAAAAUCCAGGAGCCGUGCCAAAUGAGAAGAGGAACAAAUGGAGGAACAUCCCAGUCAAGUGACAUUCCUAGUGACAUUCACCAGAACAGAGUCAAGCUUUGGAUCCCAUGUUCUGUGACUUCCUCUUCACCACGCUUCCUCCACACACGUAGCAGCUCAAGGGUUUCUGAUGAGUGGGAGGCUUGACUAGAAUUGAAUUCGAGACAAGCACAAAGAUCAUGAUGCAAAUGAAAGGGACAGAGGGGAGAGAAACAGAAAACAAGUCUAUGUUCCCUUUAUGAGCUGUAACGCACACCAUGAAGGUCUGCGGCUUGGCUAUUGAGUCAGUGAGAGCGUGAACCUACUAUUAGAAGAAAAACUCUGAAUACGUCUGAACGUCAGAAAGAACGAAGUUUGGACACAUUGUCUUUAAGAACUGUAACACUCACCCCAAGGGUUUAUGGAUUCAUUCUUGAAAUCAGUGAAACCAAAAGCUUUCCAAAGUUUAACACACAGGGAAAUGACUUACUGCAAAGAACCACUCUUCCCCACGAGACUUCGAGAAGACCCGCUGUCACGGACUGAGUUGUGUCCUCUUAAAAUUCAGAUGUUGGAGUCCAAACCCCCAGUAACUCAGAGUGUGAACGUAUUUGAAGAGGUCUUUAAAGAGGUGAUGAAGGGAGAGAGACCCCAUGAGCUCGUCAAGCUCCUUCUGUGACUGAUCAGAGAUCCCACCGUGAGUCCAGCUCCUGGUCCCAUGCUCUGGAUAUAUCGGUCCCUGGCAGCGUGGCUCCAUCUCCGUAGCCUGCUUUUGACAAAAGUGGAUACAUAAAUCUAGGGGCCACCUAGCUAGUUCUAAUAAGACUUUGGAAGUCAAAAGCUAAAGAAGACCAGGGGACCAAGCUGGAAAUCAGGCUCUGCAAUCAGAUUCCAGAGGGAAUGCCAUUCCACCCAAUCACCUAGCCACAACGGUUCCCUUCCUUCAAGAUGCUGCAUGCCUCUUCAGGCGAAUGGAUUACCUUGUAAGAGUGACCUGAAAAAGCGUUAGCCCAGCCACACCGAGGCUUAACUGAGCCAUUUGAUUCUCACUGCCUCUCUCUGUUGCUUCCUCUUGCUUUCAACUACAGGGUCUUUCUGUUUAGGUGGUGAAAAAAAUGAUCGUUAAAAACAAUAAACCUGGGGACCUCUGAUACCAUGAGCCCAGCCAGAGAUCUGUGUCAAGCAAAUCCUUGCAGACAGUUCUGCCAGCCUGCAGAUGGCUGUUUGCCUCUCGUGGAUUUGAUAAGUGCUCAUUUAUGCCCAGAGGCCUCUGGGAGAUAGUGCUCAUGCUGAGCUUACAAACUGAAAACCAUUAUCUGUUCCUUACCUGAGACCCUGGGGAGCAGUCAGCUCACUCCCUGCCGAUGGCCUAAGAUAGGUACUGAUGUUACAGUUGAGGAAUAUCUAGGAGUAACAAACUUAAGUAGCUGGAAUAUGCCAAUUUUGACAAUUUGACAACAUCAUUAUAAACAUUCUGAAGUACUUACAAGUCUUUUUUUUUUUUUUUUUUUUUUUUGGGAGACAGAGUCUUACUUACUCUGUCACAGACUAAAGUGCAGUGGCGUGAUCUCGG
rnacentral:lncRNA from 1 species